rnacentral:rRNA from 1 species
UACAGAGGUCUCAAGCGUUGUUCGGAUUCAUUGGGCGUAAAGGGUGCGUAGGUGGCGGGGCAAGUUGGAUGUGAAAUCCCGGAGCUUAACUCCGGAACUGCAUUCAAUACUGCCUUGCUAGAGUACUGGAGAGGAGAUUGGAAUUUACGGUGUAGCAGUGAAAUGCGUAGAUAUCGUAAGGAAGACCAGUGGCGAAGGCGGGUCUCUGGACAGUUCCUGACACUGAGGAGCGAAAGCGUGGGGAGCGAACAGG